AACAAUUUCUAAGCAAAUUCAGCGCGUGUGGAUCAUGUAUCGCUUUGCCACUAACCUCGUUUCUAAACUCAGGAUAUGCAGAAGCAGCCAACUGGUGAAUAGUGGUAGACUUUCAUGGAGCCGAAAUUAUGCGGCUAAAGAUAUUAAGUUUGGGGUGGAGGCGAGGGCAACCAUGCUUAGAGGCGUGGAGGAGCUGGCUGAUGCCGUCAAAGUUACCAUGGGGCUUAA